rnacentral:rRNA from 1 species
UACGUAGGGUGCGAGCGUUGUCCGGAAUUACUGGGCGUAAAGAGCUCGUAGGUGGUUUGUCGCGUUGUCCGUGAAAACUCACAACUCAAUUGUGGGCGUGCGGGCGAUACGGGCGGACUGGAGUACUGCAGGGGAGACUGGAAUUCCUGGUGUAGCGGUGGAAUGCGCAGAUAUCAGGAGGAACACCGGUGGCGAAGGCGGGUCUCUGGGCAGUAACUGACGCUGAGGAGCGAAAGCGUGGGGAGCGAACAGGAUUAGAACCGUACGCGAGAC